UUAAGCGACUAAGCGUACACGGUGGAUGCCCUGGCAGUCAGAGGCGAUGAAGGACGUGCUAAUCUGCGAAAAGCGUCGGUAAGGUGAUAUGAACCGUUAUAACCGGCGAUGUCCGAAUGGGGAAACCCAGUGCAAUUCGUUGCACUAUCGUUAACUGAAUACAUAGGUUAACGAGGCGAACCGGGGGAACUGAAACAUCUAAGUACCCCGAGGAAAAGAAAUCAACCGAGAUUCCCCCAGUAGCGGCGAGCGAACGGGGAGCAGCCCAGAGUCUGAAUCAGCUUGUGUGUUAGUGGAACGGUCUGGAAAGUCCGACGGUACAGGGUGAUAGUCCCGUACACCAAAAUGCACAGGUUGUGAACUCGAAGAGUAGGGCGGGACACGUGGUAUCCUGUCUGAAUAUGGGGGGACCAUCCUCCAAGGCUAAAUACUCCUGACUGACCGAUAGUGAACCAGUACCGUGAGGGAAAGGCGAAAAGAACCCCGGCGAGGGGAGUGAAAAAGAACCUGAAACCGUGUACGUACAAGCAGUGGGAGCACCUUCGGGUGUGACUGCGUACCUUUUGUAUAAUGGGUCAGCGACUUAUAUUCUGUAGCAAGGUUAACCGUAUAGGGGAGCCGCAGGGAAACCGAGUCUUAACUGGGCGUUAAGUUGCAGGGUAUAGACCCGAAACCCGGUGAUCUAGCCAUGGGCAGGUUGAAGGUUGGGUAACACUAACUGGAGGACCGAACCGACUAAUGUUGAAAAAUUAGCGGAUGACUUGUGGCUGGGGGUGAAAGGCCAAUCAAACCGGGAGAUAGCUGGUUCUCCCCGAAAGCUAUUUAGGUAGCGCCUCGUGAACUCAUCUUCGGGGGUAGAGCACUGUUUCGGCUAGGGGGUCAUCCCGACUUACCAACCCGAUGCAAACUACGAAUACCGAAGAAUGUUAUCACGGGAGACACACGGCGGGUGCUAACGUCCGUCGUGAAGAGGGAAACAACCCAGACCGCCAGCUAAGGUCCCAAAGUCAUGGUUAAGUGGGAAACGAUGUGGGAAGGCACAGACAGCCAGGAUGUUGGCUUAGAAGCAGCCAUCAUUUAAAGAAAGCGUAAUAGCUCACUGGUCGAGUCGGCCUGCGCGGAAGAUGUAACGGGGCUAAACCAUGCACCGAAGCUGCGGCAGCGACGCUUAUGCGUUGUUGGGUAGGGGAGCGUUCUGUAAGCCUGCGAAGGUGACCUGUGAGGGUUGCUGGAGGUAUCAGAAGUGCGAAUGCUGACAUAAGUAACGAUAAAGCGGGUGAAAAGCCCGCUCGCCGGAAGACCAAGGGUUCCUGUCCAACGUUAAUCGGGGCAGGGUGAGUCGACCCCUAAGGCGAGGCCGAAAGGCGUAGUCGAUGGGAAACAGGUUAAUAUUCCUGUACUUGGUGUUACUGCGAAGGGGGGACGGAGAAGGCUAUGUUAGCCGGGCGACGGUUGUCCCGGUUUAAGCAUGUAGGCUGGUUAUCCAGGCAAAUCCGGAUAAUCAAGGCUGAGGUGUGAUGACGAGGCACUACGGUGCUGAAGUAACAAAUGCCCUGCUUCCAGGAAAAGCCUCUAAGCAUCAGGUAACACGAAAUCGUACCCCAAACCGACACAGGUGGUCAGGUAGAGAAUACCAAGGCGCUUGAGAGAACUCGGGUGAAGGAACUAGGCAAAAUGGUGCCGUAACUUCGGGAGAAGGCACGCUGGUGUGUAGGUGAAGUCCCUGCGGAUGGAGCUGAGACCAGUCGAAGAUACCAGCUGGCUGCAACUGUUUAUUAAAAACACAGCACUGUGCAAACACGAAAGUGGACGUAUACGGUGUGACGCCUGCCCGGUGCCGGAAGGUUAAUUGAUGGGGUUAUCCGUAAGGAGAAGCUCUUGAUCGAAGCCCCGGUAAACGGCGGCCGUAACUAUAACGGUCCUAAGGUAGCGAAAUUCCUUGUCGGGUAAGUUCCGACCUGCACGAAUGGCGUAAUGAUGGCCAGGCUGUCUCCACCCGAGACUCAGUGAAAUUGAACUCGCUGUGAAGAUGCAGUGUACCCGCGGCAAGACGGAAAGACCCCGUGAACCUUUACUAUAGCUUGACACUGAACAUUGAGCCUUGAUGUGUAGGAUAGGUGGGAGGCUUUGAAGCGUGGACGCCAGUCUGCGUGGAGCCAACCUUGAAAUACCACCCUUUAAUGUUUGAUGUUCUAACGUUGGCCCCUUACCGGGGUUGCGGACAGUGUCUGGUGGGUAGUUUGACUGGGGCGGUCUCCUCCCAAAGCGUAACGGAGGAGCACGAAGGUUAGCUAAUCCUGGUCGGACAUCAGGAGGUUAGUGCAAUGGCAUAAGCUAGCUUGACUGCGAGCGUGACGGCGCGAGCAGGUGCGAAAGCAGGUCAUAGUGAUCCGGUGGUUCUGAAUGGAAGGGCCAUCGCUCAACGGAUAAAAGGUACUCCGGGGAUAACAGGCUGAUACCGCCCAAGAGUUCAUAUCGACGGCGGUGUUUGGCACCUCGAUGUCGGCUCAUCACAUCCUGGGGCUGAAGUAGGUCCCAAGGGUAUGGCUGUUCGCCAUUUAAAGUGGUACGCGAGCUGGGUUUAGAACGUCGUGAGACAGUUCGGUCCCUAUCUGCCGUGGGCGCUGGAGAAUUGAGGGGGGCUGCUCCUAGUACGAGAGGACCGGAGUGGACGCAUCACUGGUGUUCGGGUUGUCAUGCCAAUGGCACUGCCCGGUAGCUAAAUGCGGAAGAGAUAAGUGCUGAAAGCAUCUAAGCACGAAACUUGCCCCGAGAUGAGUUCUCCCUGAGACUUUAAGUCUCCUGAAGGAACGUUGAAGACGACGACGUUGAUAGGCCGGGUGUGUAAGCGCAGCGAUGCGUUGAGCUAACCGGUACUAAUGAACCGUGAGGCUUAACCU
rnacentral:rRNA from 1 species